CACCUGAUCCCUUGCCGAACUCAGAAGUGAAACCGCUUAGCGCCGAUGGUAGUGUGGGGUCUCCCCAUGCGAGAGUAGGUCAUCGUCAGGC
rnacentral:rRNA from 1 species